GACGAACGCUGGCGGCGUGCCUAAUACAUGCAAGUCGAACGCAGUGGGGACGGGUGAGUAACACGUGGGUAACCUCCCAUCAGAGGGGAUAACCCUUGGAAACAUGUGCUAAACCUCUACUGAUGGAUGUACCCGCGUUGCAUUCGCUAGUUGGUGAGGUAACGGCUCACCAAGGCCCCGAUGCAUAGACGACAUGAGAGGGGGAUCGGCCAAACUGGGACUGAGACACGGCCCAGACUCCUACGGGAGGCAGCAGUAGGGAAUCUUCGGCAAUGGACGAAAGUCUGACCGAGCAACGCAGCGUGAGUGAAGAAGGUUUUCGGAUCGUAAAACUCUGUUGUUAGAGAAGCGGUAUCUAACCAGAAAGCCACGGCUAACUACGUGCCAGCAGCCGAGGUAAUUC
rnacentral:rRNA from 1 species